rnacentral:rRNA from 1 species
UACGGAGGGUGCAAGCGUUAUCCGGAUUCACUGGGUUAAAGGGUGCGUAGGUGGGUCUUGUAAGUCAGGUGGUGAAAUCCCCGAGCUUAACUUGGGAACUGCCAUUGAUUACUAUAGAUCUUGAAUACUGUGGAGGUCAGCGGAAUAUGUCAUGUAGCGGUGAAAUGCUUAGAUAUGACAUAGAACACCAAUUGCGAAGGCAGCUGGCUACACAAAUAUUGACACUGAGGCACGAAAGCGUGGGGAUCAAACAGG